GUGGCAGCUCCACGCUUCCAUAAUUUGGUAAUCAAAAUAUGUAACUUAAUUAAUUAUAUUGUGACGUACUUUUGCCUUUUCUUAUUAUUCUGCCUUCUCAAUAACUAUCAAAGCCUAUUCACAUUUAAUUUGGCUUUCACAGAAAUCCUACCUCUCCUUCUGGCUACAGAGUACUUACCAAGGUUAGAAACAAAGAACAGUUAUGCUUUAUUAAUGUUCGCUAAUUACAAUGUUCCACAUUUCCUUGCUUUUUAAGUCAUUUUUAGGCUUUUUAGAGUUUUUGUUUUUUAUUUUUUUAGCAGUAAUGUUUCUGCCUAUUUAUUUCAGCCCAUGAAAUCGAAUGCAGAUCUUCCUAAUGUGAGAUUUACAUAAAUGUAAGUAAUUUUGUUUGUCAUUGUCAUUAAUGUUGUUGCUGUUGUUGUUUUUGUGCAGUUUGCAAUCAUAUAAACCUAGCAAGCAUCAGUCAGCACAGUGACUAACCUAAACAGAUUCUUGCUUUAUUCACAUAUAUUAUAUGUAAUUAUAUAUACCUGCACAUUGUACCUAGGGUUGCAGCCACUUGGCCCCACCCCAUUGUUGUGACAGCCCUGAUUGUACUUAUACACUGCAUCUGAACAGGGAACAGUCUGCCACAUUAAUGUAUUUUUAAGUGACUUGUUUGUAAUACAUGAAUUUGUUUUUUACAGAUGUCAAAGUCUCAACCUCAUGCUGCCCUCCCCCAUCCUCCUAAACCUGUGGAUACAAAUGCAGAUUUCCUUAAUGUUCAAUGGUGCGUGUUCUUCUAAUGGCCGCCUUCCCACUGGAGGUUUUGAUCCACAGCAAUUUAAAAGGUAAUCAGCUUUGAAAGUCAGUUCAAAUGGUUAGCUAAUAGUACUUUAAAAAGCCUACAACUCUGUCACCAGUUUCUUUACCAAAAAUUACCCAUAAAAGUAUCGCUCAAUAGCAUAUAUUGUAGUUCAAAUGUUUAGUUGUACAAAUAUCAAAUUUUUGGAAAUCUAAAACUAGUCAAACACUCAAAUGUUCAUGCUUUUUAUAGGAGGACAGAGCAAAACGGACAUCGGCGCAGAGUGAAGAACUGCCCUUGAUAAGGACACUAUGACAGCCAUAUAUAUGGCGGUAAGGAAGGGGUUUCCCAGCGUGUCCAGAAGGGCUUUGAGGAUUGCCGUGAAAGCUGGGGGAACUGAGACUGCUGGAAAAGGAAAAGAAAUUACAUUUUAAGUAUGCUGACUUAUGUUCAU